UAAUAAGUUUUAUUCUAGCUUAGUAAUUUAGUCUAUGGAUUAUGUAUAUACAUUUUUUGGUUCUCAAUGAUUAGGUGGUGUAGUAUUUAGUUUUGAAUUUUUAAGAAAUUAUGAUUCAGGAAUCUAUAAGAGUUCUAACAAAAUUUGUGCCAGCAGUUGCGGUUAUACAAAUAGUGCGUUUAAAUAUUUUUAGUUAAAUAAUUAGUUGUUGAUUUUUUUUAGUGUAAAAUUAAAUUUAUAAGGUGAAAUUUUAAUUUUUAAAUACAUUAUAAUUAAUGUUAUGAUUUUUAUUAAAUUUUUAUUUAAACUAGGAUUAGAUACCCUAUUAUUAAAAAUGUAAAAUUUUGUUCUUAAUUAGUAUUAGUUAAUUUCUUGAAAAUUAAAGAUUUUGGCGGUAUUUUAGUCUAUUCAGAGGAACCUGUUCUGUUAUCGAUAGUCCACGUUUUAUUUUACUUAUUCUAUUAGUUUGUAUAUCGUCGUAGAUUUGAAUAUUUUAGAAGAAACAUAAUGUUCGGUAUUUGUGAUUAAAAUGGAAAUCAGAUCAAGGUGCAGCUUAUGAAUAUGAAGAAAUGGGUUACAAUAAAUUUAUUUAAAUGGUUUUUGAAUUUUGAAGUUCUUUAUAAAGUGGAUUUGGAAGUAAUGAUGUUUAAUUUAAUGUUAUGAUUUUAGCUCUAAAAUAUGCACAUAUCGCCCGUCGCUCUCAAUUAAGUUGGGAUAAGUCGUAACAAAGUAGAUGUACUGGAAAGUGUAUCUAGAAAUAU
rnacentral:ncRNA from 1 species